rnacentral:rRNA from 1 species
AACGAACGCUGGCGGCAGGCUUAACACAUGCAAGUCGAACGCCCCGCAAGGGGAGUGGCAGACGGGUGAGUAACGCGUGGGAAUCUACCCAGUUCUACGGAACAACACAGGGAAACUUGUGCUAAUACCGUAUACGCCCUAAGGGGGAAAGAUUUAUCGGAAUUGGAUGAGCCCGCGUUGGAUUAGCUAGUUGGUGGGGUAAUGGCAUACCAAGGCGACGAUCCAUAGCUGGUCUGAGAGGAUGAUCAGCCACACUGGGACUGAGACACGGCCCAGACUCCUACGGGAGGCAGCAGUGGGGAAUAUUGGACAAUGGGCGCAAGCCUGAUCCAGCCAUGCCGCGUGAGUGAUGAAGGCCUUAGGGUUGUAAAGCUCUUUCAGUAGGGACGAUAAUGACGGUACCUACAGAAGAAGCCCCGGCUAACUACGUGCCAGCAGCCGCGGUAAGAC